GUGCUCGCUUUAGCAGCACAGAUACUAAAAUUGGUUUGACGAUUAGCACCGCCCCUGAGCAAGGAUGACACACCAAUUUGUGAAGUGGUCCAUAUUUUU
ensembl:snRNA U6 U6 spliceosomal RNA